rnacentral:rRNA from 1 species
GGAGACACACGGCGGGUGCUAACGUCCGUCGUGAAGAGGGAAACAACCCAGACCGCCAGCUAAGGUCCCAAAGUCAUGGUUAAGUGGGAAACGAUGUGGGAAGGCCCAGACAGCCAGGAUGUUGGCUUAGAAGCAGCCAUCAUUUAAAGAAAGCGUAAUAGCUCACUGGUCGAGUCGGCCUGCGCGGAAGAUGUAACGGGGCUAAACCAUGCACCGAAGCUGCGGCAGCGAACGUAUCACUUAAAGCGAUUCAGCGGGUUACGAUUGACGGAGCGAAGCGACGUCAAAGCGUAUACAAAGUCGAGUCGGUUUAAGGAUACGUUCGUUGGGUAGGGGAGCGUUCUGUAAGCCCGUGAAGGUGGCCUGUGAGGGUUGCUGGAGGUAUCAGAAGUGCGAAUGCUGACAUAAGUAACGAUAAAGCGGGUGAAAAGCCCGCUCGCCGGAAGACCAAGGGUUCCUGUCCAACGUUAAUCGGGGCAGGGUGAGUCGACCCCUAAGGCGAGGCCGAAAGGCGUAGUCGAUGGGAAACGGGUUAAUAUUCCCGUACUUGGUGUUACUGCGAAGGGGGGACGGAGAAGGCUAUGUUGGCCGGGCGACGGUUGUCCCGGUUUAAGCGUGUAGGUGUGUGUUCCAGGUAAAUCCGGUUCACUUUAACACUGAGGCGUGACGACGAGGCACUACGGUGCUGAAGCAACAAAUGCCCUGCUUCCAGGAAAAGCCUCUAAGCAUCAGGUAACACGAAAUCGUACCCCAAACCGACACAGGUGGUCAGGUAGAGAAUACCAAGGCGCUUGAGAGAACUCGGGUGAAGGAACUAGGCAAAAUGGUGCCGUAACUUCGGGAGAAGGCACGCUGACACGUAGGUGAAGUGAUUUACUCAUGGAGCUGAAGUCAGUCGAAGAUACCAGCUGGCUGCAACUGUUUAUUAAAAACACAGCACUGUGCAAACACGAAAGUGGACGUAUACGGUGUGACGCCUGCCCGGUGCCGGAAGGUUAAUUGAUGGGGUCAGCGUAAGCGAAGCUCCUGAUCGAAGCCCCGGUAAACGGCGGCCGUAACUAUAACGGUCCUAAGGUAGCGAAAUUCCUUGUCGGGUAAGUUCCGACCUGCACGAAUGGCGUAAUGAUGGCCAGGCUGUCUCCACCCGAGACUCAGUGAAAUUGAACUCGCUGUGAAGAUGCAGUGUACCCGCGGCAAGACGGAAAGACCCCGUGAACCUUUACUAUAGCUUGACACUGAACAUUGAGCCUUGAUGUGUAGGAU